rnacentral:lncRNA from 1 species
CCAACCCUUCCCCCCAGGGACAAAGGUCAAGGGUGGAUCAGCACCUCAAACGUUCCAUCAAACCACCAAACCGGCCCCGGAAAGCAAAGGCUUCACGAGGCUCCCCCACCAAAACAAGCCCGAAACAGACCUGCCUCAAGCACUGCAGACCGAGGAUGAGAACGAAGUAAAGUCUGGGGAGGCAACAUCAAGAGAAGCGACCAAUCCGGUCAGACCCGAUUCCCCGCAAGCAGUGAGUCUCCUAAAGCGAAGCCGUUAAGGAACUCAA